CGGCGCAAGGGAGAGUAACGCGUGGAUAUCUGCCCUCGGCUCCAGAAUAGCUACGGGAAACUGUAGGUAAUGCUGGAUAAUAUCUCCGGAUUAAAGGUGUGAUUCCGGCCGAGGAUGAGUCCGCGUCCUAUUAGAUUGUUGGUGGGGUAAUGGCCUACCAAGUCGAAGAUGGGUACCGGGUGUGAGAGCAUGGCCCGGCUCACUGGGACUGGGACACUGCCCAGACGUCUACGGACGGCUGCAGUCGAGAAUCUUCCGCAAUGGGCGCAAGCCUGACGGAGCGACGCCGCGUGCGGGAUGAAGGCCUUCGGGUUGUAAACCGCUGUCAGUUGGGAGGAAAUGCUAUGGGGUUCUCUCCAUAGUUUGACCGAUCUUCAGAGGAAGUACGGGCUAAGUACGUGCCAGCAGCCGCGGUAACACGUACCGUACGAACGUUAUUCGGAAUCACUGGGCUUAAAGAGUCCGUAGGCGGCUAUGUAGGUCAGGUGUGAAAUCCCACGGCUCAACCGUGGAACUGCGCUUGAAACCAUAUGGCUAGAGGGAGAUAGAGGAAAGCGGAACUGAUGGUGGAGCGGUGAAAUGCGUUGAUAUCAUCAGGAACACCGGUGGCGAAAGCGGCUUUCUGGGUCUCUUCUGACGCUGAGGGACGAAAGCUAGGGGAGCGAACGGGAUUAGAUACCCCGGUAGUCCUAGCUGUAAA
rnacentral:rRNA from 1 species